rnacentral:misc_RNA from 1 species
GAUGAAGAACGCAGCGAAAUGCGAUAAGUAAUGUGAAUUGCAGAAUUCAGUGAAUCAUCGAAUAUUUGAACGCACAUUGCGCCCGCUAGUAUUCUGGCGGGCAUGCCUGUCCGAGCGUCAUUUCAACCCUCAAGCCCCCGGGCUUGGUGUUGGGGAUCGGCGAGCCUCCGCGCCCGCCGUCCCCUAAAUCUAGUGGCGGUCUCGCUGUAGCUUCCUCUGCGUAGUAGCACACCUAGCACUGGGAAACAGCGCGGCCACGCCGUUAAACCCCCAACUUCUGAACGUUUGACCUCGGAUCAGGUAGGAAUACCCGCUGAACUUAAGCAUAUCAAUAAGCGGAGGA